rnacentral:rRNA from 1 species
GACGAACGCUGGCGGCGUGCUUAACACAUGCAAGUCGAACGGAAAGGCCCUGCUUUUGUGGGGUGCUCGAGUGGCGAACGGGUGAGUAACACGUGAGUAACCUGCCCUUGACUUUGGGAUAACUACAGGAAACUGGGGCUAAUACCGGAUAGGAGCUCCUGCUGCAUGGUGGGGGUUGGAAAGUUUCGGCGGUUGGGGAUGGACUCGCGGCUUAUCAGCUUGUUGGUGGGGUAGUGGCUUACCAAGGCUUUGACGGGUAGCCGGCCUGAGAGGGUGACCGGCCACAUUGGGACUGAGAGACGGCCCAGACUCCUACGGGAGGCAGCAGUGGGGAAUAUUGCACAAUGGGCGGAAGCCUGAUGCAACAACGCCGCGUGCGGGAUGACGGCCUUCGGGUUGUAAACCGCUUUCGCCUGUGACGAAGCGUGAGUGACGGUAAUGGGUAAAGAAGCACCGGCUAACUAUGUG